rnacentral:misc_RNA from 1 species
AACGCACCUUGCGCCCCUUGGUAUUCCGAGGGGCAUGCCUGUUUGAGUGUCAUUAAAUUCUCAACUUCAAAAGCUUUGUCUUUUUGAAGCUUGGAUGUGAAGGCUUGCUGGCAUUUUAAAUGUUCAGCUCCUUUGAAAUGCAUUAGUGGACCCGUUUGUGUUCAACCCUUAGUGUGAUAAUUGUCUACGCUAUGGUUUUUGAACGCUUGCUCAUUAGAACUUCGAGGUGUUAUUAGCAUUCUCGGUAUUGGAGAGUUGCAUGAACUUGCUCUUUCUGUCUAUUGAGUCAGGAUUGUCUGCUUCUAACAGUCUGCAUUUGUUAGACAAUUUUGAACCAUUUGACCUCAAAUCAGGUAGGGCUACCCGCUGAACUUAA